rnacentral:lncRNA from 1 species
UCUGGCCAUGGAGGCAUGAUAUCCGUAACAUCCCCCAAAGGAGCUAAAGAAGAAAUCCACAAUUUACCAUGAGCAUUUCUCGUCUAAUGAUUGCCAAGCGAUUCCUCCAGGACAUUCCUCAAGAUCAAUUUCUGUUCAUCCACCUUGUCCUGGGAGGGACAUCAAUGGGUUUCCAUGUCCUUUGGCUUCUGGUUGAGUUCACUCAGUGGAGAACCCUGGCAAGAGGCAGGAAAAGGGGAGGAAGUGUGAGAAAUGGAAAGGAGGUCACUAAGAGACUUGCAAUGGAUGUAAUAACUGGAUGCAGAAACUCUGGAUCUGAAGGGAAUGUUCAUGACUAUUUCAUCCCUCCUGCUGCCUUGGAGAACCAAACGCAGGAGCCACCCCAGGUGAAAACCAUCCAUUUCUUGGAGAAGUGCCACGGUGGGGUUGCAAGUCCCAGGAUCAAGAUUUCGAUGUGUCUCUUUUUCCCGUAA